UGUCCCCAUUGUACAGAUGAAAAAACUGAGGCACAGAGAGGAAGCAGGUGCUGUCCACUGAGCUGUCUCCCCAGUCCAACGUCCCCCCUCCUCCUGAGGACAGGGCCCUGUCUGUCUAGUUCACCACCUGAAGCCACGCUGGCCCAUCCAUGGCAGGGGCUCAGAAAGGAAAGGCUAAAUUGAAAGAGCACAUCCUUGCGUGCAUGACAGCAGGGACCGCCAAGCGUCGCAAGGAAAUUCCAGAUUCCAGGAAUCUGCCCUCAGAUGAAUUCACACAUGAGUAAAGAGAUGGAUGGGCAAGCAUCGUCGUGACAGUCCUGGAUUUAACAGCAAAAGAUCAGAAACAAUGCACAUGUCCAUUGAAGCGGGGCUGUCCACACAAUGGAAAACAGUGCAACUG
ensembl:lncRNA